rnacentral:lncRNA from 1 species
GGAGUUCGAGCGUUUCUGUAGAUUUGGGAAGAAGAAAUUUUAGGGUUUCAACCAACGCGACCGCUUCUGCUUGUUGGGGUGAGCUCGCUGCAAUUGAUUUGGAGAAGCCGUCGAGCAUCCUCCCCGACGCAUCUCGGACAACGCAUGCUAUGGCCGCCUUAUUCUUCCUGCCAUUCUUCUUCUGUUGGCUCUGAAAAUCCGAGUUUUCACCAAAAGCAGUGUCUGGUCGGGACUCUCCACUGUUCGCAUCUGAGUUUUGCUCGGAGAAGAGUAGAUCUGCAGAAUUUCAGUCAGCAGGGGCUUCUUCUUCAACACCUGUUCUGUUCUCUCCUGUGGUCGACGCUACCUGUCCUCUGUUUCUUCGUUCAGUUCGAGUCAAGACCACAGGGGUUCGAGCAAGGGAGAUGAGGGAUAUCUCUGCAUCUGGUG